UACGGGGGGGGGCAAGCGUUGUUCGGAAUUACUGGGCGUAAAGGGCGCGUAGGCGGCCUGCUAAGUCGAACGUGAAAUCCCUGGGCUCAACCCAGGAACUGCGUCCGAUACUGGUUGGCUUGAAUUCGGGAGAGGGAUGUGGAAUUCCAGGUGUAGCGGUGAAAUGCGUAGAUAUCGGGAGGAACACCAAUGGCGAAGGCAGCUCUCUGGGACGGUACUGACGCUGAGACGCGAAAGCGUGGGGAGCGAACAGG
rnacentral:rRNA from 1 species